UACAGAGGGGGCUAGCGUUGUUCGGAAUUACUGGGCGUAAAGCGCGCGUAGGCGGCUUUGUAAGUUAGAGGUGAAAGCCCGGAGCUCAACUCCGGAAUUGCCUUUAAGACUGCAUCGCUAGAAUCAUGGAGAGGUGAGUGGAAUUCCGAGUGUAGAGGUGAAAUUCGUAGAUAUUCGGAAGAACACCAGUGGCGAAGGCGACUCACUGGACAUGUAUUGACGCUGAGGUGCGAAAGCGUGGGGAGCAAACAGG
rnacentral:rRNA from 1 species